rnacentral:ncRNA from 1 species
GAUAAAACUUUGAAGAGGAAAGUAAUUCAGCAAGAUAAUCCAGAGAAGAGCCGUGUGCUGGGAAGGUUCUGUAUCAAACUGUAUGAAGACCGCCUCCGAGUGGCUCUAAUAAAGCACGUUGACUGCGUUAUAGUCUUAGUAAGUGGUAAAACAAGACAGCAGGUAGGUCCUGUGCUGAGUGUUGUCUUACAAACAGGGUGGAACCGCGGUGAUAUAUCGUCCCUGAA